rnacentral:rRNA from 1 species
GACGAACGCUGGCGGCGUGCUUAACACAUGCAAGUCGAACGGAAAGGCCCUGCUUUUGUGGGGUGCUCGAGUGGCGAACGGGUGAGUAACCCGUGAGUAACCUGCCCCUGACUUUGGGAUAACUUCAGGCAACUGGGGCUAAUACCGGAUAGGAGCUCCUGCUGCAUGGUGGGGGUUGGAAAGUUUCGGCGGUUGGGGAUGGACUCGCGGCCUAUCAGCUUGUUGGAUUGGUAGUGGCUUACCAAGGCCUUGACGGGUAGCCUGCCUGAGCGGGUGACCGGCCACAUUGGGAUUGAGAUACGGCCCAGACUCCUCCGGGAGGCAGCAGUGGGGAAUAUUGCACAAUGGGCUGAGGCCUAAUGCAGCAACGCCGCGUGCGGGAUGAGAGCCUUCGGGUUGUAAACCGAUUUCGCCUGUGACGAAGUGUGAGUGACGGUAAUGGGUAAAGAAGCACCGGCUAACUACGUG